AAAGCUGUGAGUCGGGAAGGUUAAAAACUGAACUCUUUUCUUUUUUUCCCCACGGUCCCCACCAGCGACGGGAGCCCGGCCCCCCCAGCCCCUUCCAGUUCUGCCGGGACGGGAACCCCCCCUGCACCCCCCGACCCCACCGCAUCCCCCCCGGGACGGGCGCAGGGACCGGGACACGCGCCGCGGGGUCCAGAGGGUCCCCGGGAAGCACCGGGGCGCUGCAGGGGGGGUGUGUGUGUGUCCAGCGGGACCCCCAGACCCCCCAUGCGGGACCCGCAGAGGGUGCUGCAGGACGGUGCAGCACCAGCACCCAGCGCCGCGGGGACAUGGAGGGCUCGCACCCGGCGCUGCGGGUCAUGCGGGAUCUGCAGCCAGCGCUGCAGGGCUGGGCGACACCCGCAUGCGACGCUGCAGGGCCAUGCAGGACCCGCAGCCAGCGCUGCAGGGCUGGGCGAGACUCGCGUGUGAUGCUGCAGGGCCAUGCAGGACCUGCAGGCAGCACUGCAGGGCUCUGUGAGGCUCACAGGCGAUGCUGCAGGGCCAUGCAGAAUUUGCAGCCAGCGCUGCAGGGCUGGGUGAGACUCGCGUGUGACGCUGCAGGGCCAUGCAGAACUUGCAGCCAGCGCUGCAGGGCUGGGCGAGACUCGCAUGCGAUCCUGCAGGGCCACGCAGGAUCUGCAGCCAGCGCUGCAGGGCCACGCACGAGUCACGACCUGGGCUGCAGGUCCACGCAGGACCCACGGACAGCACUAAAGGGCUGCAUAGUGCUUGCAGCCAGCGCUGCAGGGCCACACAGGAGCUGCAGCCAGCGCUGCAGGGCUCUGCAAGACUGGCACGAGACGCUGCAAGGCCAUGCAGGACCUGCAGGCAGCACUAAAGGGCCACACAAGAGUUGCAGCCGGUGCUGCAGAGCCAUCCAGGACCCGCACCCAGUGCUGCAGGGCUGCGCAGGACCCGCGUGUGAUGCUGCAAGGCCAUGCAGCACUUGCACCCGGCGCCGCGAGGCCAUACGGGGCCUGCAUGCGACGCUGCGGGGCCACGCAGGACCCGCAGACAGAGCUGCAGGGUCACCUAGCACCUGCGCCCAGCGCUGCAGGGCCAUGCAGCAUCUGCAGCCAGCGCCGCAGGGCUGCGCAGGACCCGCAUGCGACGCCGCAGGGCCGUGCAGGAGCUGCAGCGGGCGCUGCAGAGCGCUGCAGGACCCACGGCUGGUGCCGCCGAGACACGCGGGACCCACGGACGGCGCUGCGGGACCUGCACCCGCAUCAGCCGCUGCAUCAGCCCCACACCAGAACCCGAUCCAGAGCCUGGGGGGGGGGGGGGGGGGCACGUCCCGCCUCGCCUCCUUUACCACCCGCCGUGCCCACCCCCAGCUUGGGGCCGGCCCAGCUCCCCACACCAACAGAGGGGCUUCCGAACCCCCCCCGGUAGCACCAAGCACGGAGGGGAGGUUGGGGGGGCGCCCCCCCUCCCCGCCACCCCAGCACCUCACAGCACCCGGGGGGGGGGGCUGCCGUGGCGCUCGAUGCCAAUUAGCCAGCACCCCGCACCGAGCAGCCGGCGGCCCCCCCCCCAACCCCCCCCAGCACCUUUCACAGUUAAGAGAAGAGACGGCGAACGGGGCAGAGACCCUCCGUGAGCCCCCCCUGCCCCUGCCCCACGCCGUAGCACCAGCCCCUGCCUCGGCCGGAGCCCCUCCGGCUCCGGGCACGGGGGCACGGUGGCCGCAACGGGCACCGAGCCGGGCCCCCCCACCGACCCGCCGCGGCCCCCGCAGCUGCCAGACGAGUAGCACCAUCCACGGCAAUGCCAGCACCCUGCCUGCGCCGCCACCGCUCUCCCUGCCAGCCACCGGCCACCCGUCGCCCCCAAAACCGGGGGGUCCGGGGCCACCCCCAGCACGG
rnacentral:lncRNA from 1 species